AUUGAACGCUGGCGGCAGGCCUAACACAUGCAAGUCGAGCGGCAGCGGAAAGUAGCUUGCUACUUUGCCGGCGAGCGGCGGACGGGUGAGUAAUGUCUGGGAAACUGCCUGAUGGAGGGGGAUAACUACUGGAAACGGUAGCUAAUACCGCAUAACGUCGCAAGACCAAAGAGGGGGACCUUCGGGCCUCGUGCCAUCAGAUGUGCCCAGAUGGGAUUAGCUAGUAGGUGGGGUAACGGCGCACCUAGGCGACGAUCCCUAGCUGGUCUGAGAGGAUGACCAGCCACACUGGAACUGAGACACGGUCCAGACUCCUACGGGAGGCAGCAGUGGGGAAUAUUGCACAAUGGGCGCAAGCCUGAUGCAGCCAUGCCGCGUGUAUGAAGAAGGCCUUCGGGUUGUAAAGUACUUUCAGCGGGGAGGAAGGCGAUAAGGUUAAUAACCUUGUCGAUUGACGUUACCCGCAGAAGAAGCACCGGCUAACUACGUGCCAGCAGCCGCCGUAA
rnacentral:rRNA from 1 species